rnacentral:rRNA from 1 species
UGGGGAAUCUUGCGCAAUGCGCGAAAGCGUGACGCAGCAACGCCGCGUGGAGGAAGAAGGCUUUCGGGUUGUAAACCCCUUUCAGUUGGGACGAAGCUUCAGCGGUGAAUAGCCGACCGGAGUGACAGUACCUUCACAAGAAGCACCGGCUAACUACAUGCCAGCAGCCGCGGUAAUACGUAGGGUGCAAGCGUUGUCCGGAAUUAUUGGGCGUAAAGAGCGUGUAGGCGGCCCCAUUAGUCCGCUGUGAAAGUCCAGGGCUCAACCCUGAAAUGCCGGUGGAUACUGUAAAGCUAGAGUCCGGAAGGGGCGAGUGGAAUUCCUGGUGUAGCGGUGAAAUGCGCAGAUAUCAGGAGGAACACCAAUGGCAAAGGCAGCUCGCUGGGACGUGACUGACGCUGAGACGCGAAAGCGUGGGGAGCAAACAGGAUUAGAUACCCCUGUAGUCC